GGGAGUACAUCUAGGAGAGCUUAAUGAAAAUGUCCCUGGAGGAGUUCCGCUCCGUCCCCAGACACAUUAACAGACUUUUCCAGUAGCUGUACUGACUAUGAAUGCAUCCCAAUUGUUCAGGACAAAUCAAACAUUAAACACAAUUGCUUUGAACCCCU